GUUUUCAUAGCUCAGUGGUUAAAGCACUGUUCUUGUAAACCAGCCGUUGUGAGUUCAGCCCUCACUGGGGCCA